rnacentral:rRNA from 1 species
AACUAACGCUGGCGGCGCGUCUUAAACAUGCAAGUCGAACGGAUGUAGCAAUACAUUAGUGGCGAACGGGUGAGUAACACGUAGGUAAUCUACCUCUGAGUCUGGAACAACCUGAUGAAAAUCAGGCUAAUACUGGAUAGUAUUAAUUUGGCGAAUGUCGGAUUAAUUAAAGCAUUUAUGCGCUGAGAGAUGAGCCUGCGGCUGAUUAGCUAGUUGGUAGGGUAAUGGCUUACCAAGGCGACGAUCAGUAGUUGGUCUGAGAGGACGGCCAGCCACACUGGGACUGAGACACGGCCCAGACUCCUACGGGAGGCAGCAGUGGGGAAUUUUGGACAAUGGGCGCAAGCCUGAUCCAGCAAUGCCGCGUGAGUGAAGAA